rnacentral:rRNA from 1 species
GACGAGGGGUCCUAGCGUUGUUCGGAAUCACUGAGCGUAAAGCGUAUGUAGGCGGGCUUUUAAGUCGGGUGUGAAAUCCCACGGCUCAACCGUGGAAUUGCAUUCGAAACUGGAAGUCUUGAGUGUGGGAGAGAUUGGUAGAAUACCUAGUGUAGUGGUGAAAUACGUAGAUAUUAGGUGGAAUACCGGUGGCGAAGGCGGCCAAUUGGCCCAACACUGACGCUGAGAUACGAAAGCGUGGGGAUCAAACAGG